GCCACUGUAGCACAAUGGCUAGUGCGUUGCCUUCCUACUAGCGAGGGUUCAAGGCAAAGGUUGUGGGUUCGAGUCCCAUCCGUGGUU
rfam:Pleurotus ostreatus PC15 unplaced genomic scaffold scaffold_09, whole genome shotgun sequence.